CUGUCUUUCAAGCCUUGCUGCCAUAAUACAUGGUAUGGCAAAGCAUGAGAUUCUGCAUUUCCCUUUAAAUUUUUGCUCAUUUAAACAAAAUGCAAACCUGAAAUAGGCAGUCUUUGAAAAUUAUUCCAUUUUGCCCUUUUUGAUCAGUUGAGGUAAAUUUUCUCAGUCUUUGCUAUUGUAUAAAGCGGGCUUAAACUAAAGACUUAACUUUUCAUUGUUCCCAGAUUGAGACAUCUAGGGCUUUCUUCAUGGAAAUGUGGAGAACCCAGAAAUGUCAGCUGCUCACAGAACUGCUGACUUAGUGGCAAGUGAUCAAAGGAUGAAGUUUCUAUCACUUGAGGACUGUCUUUGGAGAUAUUUAAAAGGAGGGUACCCAAGAAGAUGGAGCAUUUUGUGUGAAGAGUGGACUAGGCAGCUGAAGAAUUGCCACAGGCUUUCAGGGCACCAUCGAAUCUGUGCAAGUCCUUCAGAUGAACAACCCCCCCUCUGAAAUGCUUAAUCCAGGGUUGGAUCAGCAGAAAGAGACUAGAAGGGUGCACUGAGAAAUAAGAAAUAAAAAGCUGAGAAAAUAAAGGAGAAGUGACCUC
rnacentral:lncRNA from 1 species